UGGGGAAUCUUGCACAAUGGGGGAAACCCUGAUGCAGCGACGCCGCGUGAGCGAUGAAGCCCUUCGGGGUGUAAAGCUCUUUCGACGGGAACGAUAAUGACGGUACCCGGAGAAGAAGCUGCGGCUAACUACGUGCCAGCAGCCGCGGUAAUACGUAGGCAGCAAACGUUGUUCGGAAUUACUGGGCGUAAAGAGUGUGUAGGCGGUUAGGUAAGUUUGGUGUGAAAUCUCCCGGCUUAACUGGGAGGGUGCGCCGAAAACUGCCUGGCUUGAGUACUGGAGAGGAUAGCGGAAUUCCUGGUGUAGCGGUGAAAUGCGUAGAUAUCAGGAGGAACACCUGCGGUGUAGACGGCUAUCUGGACAGUAACUGACGCUGAGACACGAAAGCGUGGGGAGCAAA
rnacentral:rRNA from 1 species